rnacentral:rRNA from 1 species
AACGAACGCUGGCGGCAGGCUUAACACAUGCAAGUUGAACGAGUGUAGCAAUACAUUAGUAGCGCACGGGUGAGUAACACGUGGGAAUAUACCCUUCAGUACGGAAUAACGUCGGGAAACUGACGCUAAUACCGUAUAAUGUCUACGGACCAAAGAUUUAUCGCUGAAGGAUUAGCCCGCGUUGGAUUAGCUAGUUGGUGAGGUAACGGCUCACCAAGGCGAUGAUCCAUAGCUGGUUUUAGAGGAUGAUCAGCCACACUGGGACUGGGACACGGCCCAGACUCCUACGGGAGGCGGCAGUGAGGAAUAUUGGGCAAUGGGGGCAACCCUGAUCCAGCCAUGCCGCGUGAGUGAUGAAGGCCUUCGGGUUGUAAAGCUCUUUUGUCCCUGAAGAUAAUGACGGUAAGGGAAGAAAAAGCCACGGCUAGCUUCGUGCCAGCCGCCGCGGUAA